GACAGAGGCCUCAAGCGUUAGGCGGAAUCACUGGGCUUAAAGCGUGUGUAGGCGGACUUUAAGUGCCUUGUGAAAUCCCACGGCUUAACCGUGGAACGGCUGGGCAUACUGGGAGUCUUGAGCUGUCUGAGGGGCGACUGGAACAAACGGUGGAGCGGUGAAAUGCGUAGAUAGUCGAGAGGAACACCUGCGGCGAAGGCGGGUUGCUGGGCUGACACUGACGCUGAAGUGCGAAAGCUAGGGGAGCGAACGGG
rnacentral:rRNA from 1 species